UUGAAAUUGCCAGAUUUCAAAAG
rnacentral:snRNA from 1 species